rnacentral:misc_RNA from 1 species
CCUUCAUCAAAGGAAUCACUGCUUGCCUUAGAAGUAACAACAUCAAGCAUUAGCUCUUCUGGUACAAGCAAGGAGUCUUUUCCCUUCCAUGAUCUUACAGGCUCAUGUGAGUCUGUAACUUGGGACCCUUGUCCAUUAAAUCGUCCCAAUACUUCCCUUGCCAAUCCUGUCUGUGGCUUUGGUAACUGACCCCCUUCUCUCCCCAAUGACAAGCGUGUAUUUGAUAGCUGGUACACAACAGGCAAUUUCCCAGGAAGUGCUUUUGAUUCUGGAACCCUCUCCAUGUCCAGUAACCUCGUAACAUCACAUGUAAUAAUGUUUCAAUGAAUAACCCAGUGAAACGAAUAAUAGGAAUCUGUAUGAGUAUCCUGUACAAGAAUCUCAGGGCUUGUGUGAGGCUAGAGCUUGAUGGCUCGAGUUUUGCUGUUUCUCUGGUUAUUAGAGAGUAGAGUUUCUCCCACUAGAAGCUUUGAAAUAAUAACGAAUUAGAGAUUUGUAGAGCCCGAG